GUUUCGUUCUGGUAGAUUCUGAUUCAACAUGCAAACCCAGAGAAUACACAACCAUGGACGGACGAUGCUGGCCGAUGUGCCAAGAAGGUGAUGACUUCCUGUUGCUGAUUGAACUUCCUUCAUGAUCUGUGAGAUGAUGUCUGGCGUUAUAGGAAUUUAAAAAAAUGAACCUCCAAGGAAGUGAAGUAGCAACUGUCUAUCUGCUGAUAAUUUUAAUUCCAACUAUGAAUUUUAGUGUCAAGAGAUGUCAUAUUACAGAGUACAAGGUUGGAAACGUAUGCUGCACUGUGUGCCCUACUGGGAGUCAAGUGGACACAGACUGCACUGAGUUCACAGAAACAUCCUGUCUACUCUGUGCUGAUGGAACAUAUAUGGAGACUCCUACUGGGAAAAAGCAAUGCAACCCAUGCAGGAGAUGUGAUGAAG